GCAAAGUUCGGAAACGGAUGGAACUUGGGUGCGUAUGCAUUCGGGGAUUUGAGUGGCCGACACGGGGUCGAAGUAAACAACGGUGAGGUAAACCCUUGCCCCUUUAAACUUCUUGGGGAAUAAAGCCCUGGGGAAACGUGGGGUUCUUAAUUACCUGGAUAUUUGACUUUUUACCUGCGACAUGGGGUGUUGCGUUGAAAGAUUUCUUUGGUUUUGGAUGGACUACGCGGCCCUAUCAGCUUGUUGGUGAGGUAACUGGCUUACCAAGGCGACGACGGGUAGCCGGCCUGAGAGGGUGACCGGCCACACUGGGAUUGAGACACGGCCCAGACUCCUACGGGAGGCAGCAGUGGGGAAUAUUGCACAAUGGGCGAAAGCCUGAUGCAGCGACGCCGCGUGAGGGAUGACGGCCUUCGGGUUGUAAACCUGUUUC
rnacentral:rRNA from 1 species